rnacentral:misc_RNA from 1 species
GAUGAAGAACGCAGCGAAAUGCGAUACGUAAUGUGAAUUGCAGAUUUCAGUGAAUCAUCGAAUCUUUGAACGCACAUUGCGCCCGCCAGUAUUCUGGCGGGCAUGCCUGUUCGAGCGUCAUUUCAACCAUCAAGCGCCUCGCUUGUGUUGGGGCCCUGCGGCUGCCGCAGGCCCCUAAAUCCAGUGGCGGGCUCGCUGUCACACCGGGCGUAGUAGAUUUUAUCUCGCUCAGGGCGUGCUGCGGGUUCCGGCCGUUAAAAAGCCUUUUUUACCCAAGGUUGACCUCGGAUCAGGUAGGAAGACCCGCUGAACUUAAGCAUAUCAAUAAGCGGAGGA